rnacentral:lncRNA from 1 species
CAGGUCGAGGUGAACUGACGGCCUGGUGCUAGAGCACGGUGGCACUGCCUUGCUGAAACCCCAAAAUUAACUGAAAAAAGUUUUGGACAUUGAUUUUGGAUUUUUUGAGUAUUUUUAGGUACGUGACAAGUGUUUUGGAUUCCACGAAAAAAAAUUCAGGAAAUCCAGUAUCCGUUAGGAGGCAUGGCAAACAGUGCGACGUUUCGAAAUACCGAUCCGGGUAAGGAUUCCUCUCCCUAUUCCUCGUUAUGGUAAAUUG